rnacentral:lncRNA from 1 species
UAUUUUCUAGGUAUGUAUAUUCGAGGUGUGUAUUUUCUAGGUGUAUAUUUCUAGCAUACAGUGUUAAGCGUCGUUACCUUAAGGCCAUGAAUUAUAAGGUAACCCCGAGAUACUCAUAACCAUACUGAUAGACACUAGAGAGCUCGACGCCCUGCAAGCGUCAAAAUAAAGAUGUGACAUUUGUCACCCCUUGGCUUGGUAGGCCGUGGACUGUAGCUAGCAGUCAGGGUGAGGGAGUGUCAAUCCCGUAUAGAUCUAUACACAUAAUGUCCGCUCUCCCUACAAGAGACUCUGGUUACCAACUAGACUACGGAGAAGGCCAUGUCCUGAAGAUGUAUCCCGAAUAGUGGAUUCUGAUGUAAGUGUUGGACUAGCAGUAGAGACUCAUAACUGAACCGAUCGAUGUAAACCCAUAUGUCUAUACAUGUAUACAUGAUAUAUAAUUAAUGAUCAAACGACCUUCGGAUGGAUAUCCGAUCCCACCAGACCACAUCUCAACGAAGAAAAGGAAAUAGGGCGAACUAGCCUUCCUAAGUCCUUUAAUCAUUAUUUAUAUAACCAUACAUGUACAGGUAUACAUUUAACUAAGUGGAAGCGUCUCGUGAAGUAGAAGUUUAUCGUGAAGUAGAAGCGUAUCGUGAAGUAGAAGCGUAUCGUGAAGUAGGAGCGUUAAUAAGUAUAAGCAUAUCACGAAGUGGAAGUGUUAUCAAGUAUAAGAGAAGUAGAAGCGUAUCACUAAGUAGAAGUGUUUCACGAAGUAAAAGCGUUAUCAAGUAGGAGCAUUAACUAAGUAGAAGUGAAGCAGUAGUAUCUUAACCAAGUAGGAGUAUAAAAACAUGGAAGAAAACUUUGAUGAAAACUAUGGAAAACCCUUAUACUUAAGAAAAUCACGACUUGGUAUUCUUAUGUAAAAUAAGUUUGAAAACCUUUUGAAAACAUUUUGUAAACGAGUUUUAGAUGAACUUUGAUAAAACAUUCGGCGUGAGCGUCAAUUUGAGGAAAGCUUUGUACAAGUAAAGACGUUUUAGAAAACCAUUUACAGUAUCAUACUUGGUAAAAUAGUUGACAGUGUGGUAAAUCCUUGUGCACGUGGGUUAUCAAUCACAUGUAAUUGAUGUGAUAACUGGCAUGUUUAACAUGUAUUCCCCCCCCCCCCAUAAAAACAUGUAAAAACAUUUAAAAGGUUAAUUCGGGGGUAUGAACUCACAUGUUGUAAGUGGAUCCGAUGGAGGUGCCGGUAUAGGAUGCUAAGUGUCAAGUAAGGACUUGACCACACAUGCGAAUCCUAUUUAACAUGUAAUGAUACAUUUAAGUAUCUAAUUAGUCAUUUAACAACUAAUAAAGCAAGUAAGGAUGUCUUAUGACAUCAAAACACUUUGCUACAAGUGCUAGAAGUGUCAAGGGUUGCAUAUAAGAUGUGUAUGGACUCACAUUGGAGUUUACUCCUCAAAUGAAGGCCCUUAUGGGUGUUUACGGUUUCAAGACCCUUUCCCCCAUGAGUUUACUGCCGUAAACUCAUGGUAGUAGUGUCAUGGGAUGCUUAAAGGUCUUAACUCACUCAUGGAGUCAUGCUAGAGUUGAAUCAAGGGCUAAGGAAGUGAUUGGGGCUCAAAAUGGGCACAAAAUGGAGUUUAUGGUCCAUAGUUUACUCCUUGAGGAGUUUACGGUAGUAAACACAUUCAAGGUGUUUAUGGUCCUUGAGGAGUUUACGGUCCAUAGUUUACUCCUUGAGGAGUUGAAUCAACGUCCUUGAGGAGUUCAUGGAAGCCCUUGGAGUUGUUUGAGGGGUAGCUUGACACCAUAAAAGGUGUUUAUGGUCCAUGAACAUGGGUUUCCGGUACAAGAACAUUCUUAGACCUUAAACUCAUGUUUACUCUCCAUUUGGUCCGAUUUUGGUGUUCUAAGUCCUUUCGGGUAAGCCUCUAAGCCAUUUCUAAGUAUAAGAAGUGUUUUGGAAGGGUUUUUGAGCAUCAAAACCCACAUUCAAGGGGUUUACGGUUUUGGGAGGCUCCCAAGACCGUAAACUCAAGUUCUUGAGGUUUCUGGAUGAUUAAGUCAUGAAUUUGCAAGAUAGAAGUGUUAAACAACAAGCUAGGGAGGUUUACUUACCGAUUUGAGGCUCGGAGGGACGAUUUUUGACCAAAACCCGUUUGUAGAGAGAGAAAGAAGAGAGAGAGAGAGAGGGAGAGAGAGAGAAAGUCUAAGGUGGUAAAAAGGUAGGAGUGAAUCCCACUCCUCCCUUAUAUAGGGUGGAGCUUAUGGCCUGGCUGGAGUUUUCCUGACACCAACCGCGAACGGGUUCUUCACCCCUUCCAUAUUCACGGAAAAUUUUAAAAUUAUACAGCUUUAAUUUUUGUUCGCUUAAUGAAUAUUAUGUAAAAUAUUCCAACGGGUCUAAUUCCAGUCAAAAAUAUUUUCGGGAUAAAUUUGGCUAAUUUUUGACGUAACUAAUUACGACGUUAAUUUUGACAUUAACUUCGACGUUAACUUUCGACGUUAAAACUAACGGAAAUUUUUGGGUUGUCACAUCAUCCCCCCGUUAGAGGGAAUUUCGUCCCGAUAUUCAGGUUUAGGCAAGGAAGUAGGUAUGAAUGAUCGAGUAGAGGUAUGAGGAUACUCCCUGUUUGGUUCGUCUUCGAAGUUAGGGUUCACAAUGGUUUCUAUCAAGGUGAGUGGGAUACAAGGAGUGGCGUCGGGCAAACACUUAUCAAGUCUAGAGCCUUGUGGAAUAUCCGGAAGUAGUAGUGGUCUGACGAGGGUUGGACCAAUCUUUGUAAAGAAUCUCGAAUGGUCCUAAGCUCUCGGAAGGGUAGAGCUUUUCAGUAUUUAGAACAUAGUGUACUUCUAUGGCGAGAUCAUCACUGGCGUGAUCGCCAUUCCGAAGUUCCAAACGUUCUCUCAUACUGGGAAUGUAGUCCUUCGGAUUGGUUCUUAGAAAGAUCGGGUUGUCCUUGGAUUUCGUGUUUCUACUGUUUGACUUUCAAAGGUUUUCUGGAUCAUCGGAUGGAUUGCAUGUCUACGGGUAUCUGUUUACUGCAGUGUGUCUAUCUCAAUAUUGUGUAAAUGAACCUGCACUUCUGAUUCUUGAGAUAUUUCUAACGGAAACCCUCAGGGUCGGGGAGAUAGGGUUUCACCAGACGAGUGUUGGACUACCUCGGGAGGUGGUUCUAUUAUUUCUGCGCGAGAUAGUAUUAGUGGAACACCUAGUAGUCCAAUGAAUCUCUAAGACAUGCCCUAAUCUCCAAGGCAUUGGUUUAUUUCAGUUGCAGAAAGCGCGUGCUCUUUUAUAACCCAUCGACUAACACCUAGACUGGUGUCAAGUCUAUAAUCUCUUCGGGAUCUGGUUUAUAAGGCUUAACGCAACCUACUUUCGCACUUUAUUCAAGCAUUCUUGGCUGCGGAGGUUAUCCUGUGGUUCUUGGCAUUCUAGUGUUGGCUUCGGAGAAUGCAUUCUAUCGUCUACAGGACGACGGUGACUUCCUCCUUGUAAGGGGGCGGAGGGUUCUAGGCACUACUUGUCGGUAACGGGGUGGACUAAGUGCCUGAGUAGUGCGAACAUCUUCUGCAACUACUCUUCCGAAGGUUCUGAGUUCUUCUCGGUCUAUGUCAAAUCUAGUGAGUAUAGGGUUCCAUCACCCGUAACUUUGAUCUCCUCAUCCAUUCCUCUCAGAGUUUACAUUAUCGCAACUUCCGGAUUUCCGGAAUAUCCGCUGAGAUGCCUAUUUCGGGGGAUUAAGCAUGAAUGGAUGGUCGUAGUCAAUGUCCUUGACUCUUACGACUCAAAUUUCUUUACCAACUGAGGGUGUUAGCUACUAUGUUGGCUUGACCGGGAUGAUGACAAAUUUCGGAUUUGUGGUCAUUAUAGUAGCUCAACCUGCCAUGGUUCUCUUGACUCUAGCUCCUAUUCUAUGGAAUACGAUGAAGGGUUUUUCUAGGGGAUCUACGGAGUAUGCUUCGGGUGGUUAUCGUCUUCUGGAAUACCUGCAGUGUCUUUCGCUUCAGUUUCUAUCUGUUUAAGAGGGGUUGGUUAACAGCAUGCGGUACCCUUCUCCUGGGUACUUCGGAAGGUUUGAAAUAAGAGGGACGACUGACGGAUAGCAUUAAGUUUUAUUAUCUGAAUUAUGUUUAGGUUUGGAAGAACCUUUAUUUGCCGAAAUGGCUACGGAGAAAGUUCUUUUUACACAACACUAGGGAUUUACACAUGGUUGCACGAAGUCAAACCAUGAUUGAUAGAGGCGUCGAAGUUGGCACACUUCAACAUGAUAUAGAAUGAGGAUCGACAGGGUCAUGUGCCGAACGAGCACACCAGUUCUAGGUGUCUAGGGUUUAGUCCCGUGUAUCAUUGUCGCGGAUACUUGGACCGAUAGAGUCAACGCCGAACUAUAGAGAGUCCUGAAUGUUUCAGAGUAGAGUACCCUUUCAUGAAUGGAUUCUCACGAGGCAUUUCUAUAAUCGCCUAACAUAUACUAGUCAUGUAUAAUUAAGGUGGGGAGGACUGUUGACCGAGCGACUCCGCCUUAAAUCCACAACCAAACAAGGAACAGGAAAUGAGGCGGCAUUCACUCACUCUAGGUCUAUCCAUCUCAAUUAUACAUGGCCGUAACGUAUAUAUCUAGCCAUUAUAGUUUUACCUGAUGAUUUUUUUUAAAUUUUAUGACAGUGCUACGACUUUCGCCUUAAUGGGGAAGUAAUUACAUUUAGGAUUAACCUUUUAAUGUUUUCGGUUAACUAUCUGAGAUUGAGAGACAUACCAAAAUCUACCGGGUUCCUUGAUGCUUUUCCCUAAGCAUUAGAAUUAGACUCCUCCUGUAUCUUUGUUGUUUCCUUCAGUUGAGCAGUCCCUUUUGAAGUGUCCCUUUCCACCACAUAGGUGGCAAAUUGGAUUGGCCUCCACAUUGGUGGUUGAUGUAAUGAACUCAACCGGGGUUCUGUGGACGCGAGCAGUAUGCCCCCUUCAUGUUGCACCUAACACAUAAGAGUUCCCGACAUAUACCAUGAUGAUGGUAGCUACACUUGCCGCAGUGGGGAAGGUUUCCUAGGUAUGGUCUCCUCGAAGUCGGGAUGGAAGGGAUGGCAGGGGUAUUGAUUGUCUCAGCUCGUCGCCCUUCGGAAGGUCCUUGAGCCGAGGUACUUCCUUUCUCGUUCUUGAACUUUCUCUUUAGUGGAGUUGGCUGAGGUUCUUGGGUGGCUGUGUACAUAGAGGUUGGUUGCUGCUGUCCACUACUAGGAUCAGAAUUUCCGAUAGGGCUCUUGCUAACAUUGGCGUUGUUAGCAUUCAGUUGAGCCAUGACAGCUGCUACGNGACUGCAGCCUGGAAGGUAGCUUCAUCGAGUAGGAGAGUCGGUUUCUUGUUAGUGGAUAGGUUACGAUCCUUCGGAGGCAUGGGUUUUUCCUAUACGGAAAAGAACUCAAGCGGAUGAGAGACGAUGGUUAACCCUGGACAUAUCUGUCCUUACUGUAUUAGGCAUAAAUUUUUCCCGUGCUUCGGAUAUUGGUUGCCUGAGUGUCGACCUACAUCCCUAUGAUGUAGUCCUGGUAUUCAAGGUAGGAGUGUGAGUAUCGGAAAAAGCCAUAAGAUGGGAAUCGUUCCUACUAAGUUACCUUUAUACUGGGAAAGGUUUCACUCUCCAGCCUGGAAAGAUUUGAGAACAGUUGGGAAGAAAGGCUCAUGAAGACUUAUGGCUAAAUACUCUCAAUAAAGGUGCGGGGAUCCACUCUAAUCGUAUUACUUGCAACUGCAAAAGAAGGCGUUUUACCUAACACAUAGCGUGAGUAGCGUGACCACUAACUCACUAAAUUGUAUUAUUUUAUGGGUGUGUUAGUGUGACGAACACGAAGAAAAGACACUUCUCGGGUUCCAUGUACUGGCUCCCUCUGUCUACCUCGUAUUCCUGACUGGGACCGGCAUUGGUUUUCUUCGGAUAGUUACCUAGGGUUUCUUUCUCGUGAAGAAAUAUUGAAUUUAUACUCCACCUUACUUCCGAAUCCGACUCUGGGUGUCAUCACUUCAUGAUGGAUGACUGGAAAUCUCGGAAGUUUAGGCGAACUUCUCACCAAUGUCCCUAAAAGAGAUAGGCACUUGGUGAUUUCAAUAGUCUCGUCCUAGUUCAUUUAUUUCCAAACUGGAAAUCUUCUCAAUGAACCUCUUCUGGGUCUGAAUCAACUCUUCCGGCGAGCACUGAAGUGGAUAGGGUUUUCUACAGGGUUCGUGCGAGAAUGGAAAUGUCUAAAGAAUCCUUACAGAUUAUUAACAUUUCACUAGAUGAUCCAUAUCGAGUCCUGCUACGAUUACAUAGGGUAUACAAAUCAUAUAUAGCUUAGAUCCGAUAGGCCUUCGAAUAUGUGAUACUACUCUAUAUCCACAUCCCAACGAGGAAAAGGAAGUAGAGCGAAACCACACAUUCUUAGCCUAUGGGAUCCUUAUUAUAUAUAACCUUGGGAGUAUACCCUCUGUAAUUGUAGGUAUAUCAAUAAGGAUCUUUUUAGUUCUUCACACAAGGUUGUCUAUGGAUCCUAAAAUACCCCUAUGGUAUUUUAAUUUCUUGUUUGUUUCUUAUCUUCUGAAUAUGAUUCUGGGAUUAAUGUGAGUCUUUUAGUAUUCCAAAAUACUCCCAUAGUAUUUUAAACUUUAUGUUUGGCUCUAGCAUUCCUAGUUGGUAAGUUUCAGACCUGUUGCAACACCACUAUCACUCCCAAGCACACGUUCAUCGCAUCUCGAAUAAAUGUAGUUGAUCAGGUUACAUUUAUUCCAGCUUACGAUUACAUAACUGCCCAGCUUUGACGGUAAUGCUCAACAUCCGAAGAUUUUUAUUGUUCUUCUUGUGAUACUUGUGUUCGAGUGUUUAGAUUCUGGAUGUUCUUAUACUUUGGUAAAAUAUGGUUAUAUUUUAAAGUAUAAUUCUUGGUCAGAGUGUUUUAUCCCUAUGUAUUUAUAGGCUGUAUAUCUUUUAUGAAUUGAUAUACUUAGCUCACUAUAAACAAUGCUCUGAUACCAGUCUGUCACACCCCAAAACCGGAACGGCGGAAACGUUCUGGGGUGGAUGACGUCAUGUCAAGUAUCACAACAUAUGCAGUAUAGUAAUCAAAGUACAACAACCAUUGCAUUAAUAGUAAUAGUUUUACAUGGUUUACAUUGUAUAGAAUCAUUAAAGUAAUACAAGUAAUAUUGUACGUCCAGCUCGGUACUAAACGGUCUUCACCAAAAGCUCCUGAAAUGUACCUGUCUAUUGCUGACAUGAGAAUACAAGUUAUUUUGAAAGCGAGUAUUAGCAUUUUUAUAAAUGCUGGUGAGUUCAUAAGUCUUUAGUGUCAUUUGUGUAAGUUCAAAAUAACUUUAUAAAAGUGGUAGUUUAGAGUCUACAGUGGAUUAGAGUCAUUUCUAGAAAAUCCUAUAUUUUAUUAAUUAAAAGCAGUCUUCUACCAAGACUUGACAGAGUUAUGUUUGUAAAAGUAAUUUUCCCUUAAUCACUAUCAUUAUCAAAAUACGGUGUUUGAUUUCAAAGAAAGUAGGAGAAUAUCAGGGAAAAUAACGUAUGCCUCAGCAGCGAAGACUGCUGACUAAGGCAAAAGAGAUCAUAGACUCCAGGAGAGUAUCGAAUGAAUGACAUGCUUGGCUCAGUCUAACAAAAGGAGAUACAGACCCCAGACGGCAUCGGAUGAAUGAUACGUGUAGCAAGGUCUAAAAACAGUGGGGACAGACCCCAGACAGUAUCAAAUGAAAGAUACAGUUAACAAGGUCCGAAAUAGUGAAGACAGACCCUAGACAGUAUCAAAUGAAAGAUACAGCUAGCAAGGUCUAAAAUAAUGGAUACAGACCCCAGACAGUAUCAAAUGAAAGAUACAGCUAGCAAGGUCUAAAAACAGUGUAAUUCUAGGUGUGUAUACUCGAGGUGUGUAUUUUCUAGGUGUGUAUAUUCGAGGUGUGUAUUUCCAGCAUACAGUGUUAAGCGUCGUUACCUUAAGGCCAUGAAUUAUAAGGUAACCCCGAGAUACUCAUAACCAUACUGAUAGACACUAGAGAGCUCGACGUCCUGCAAGCGUCAAAAUAAAUAUGUGACAUUUGUCACCCCUUGGCUUGGUAGGCCGUGGACUGUAGCUAGCAGUCAGGGUGCGGGAGUGUCAAUCCCAUAUAGAUCUAUACACACAAUGUCCGCUCUCCCUACAAGAGACUCUGGUUACCAACUAGACUACGGAGAAGGCCGUGUCCUGAAUAUGUAUCCCGAAUAGUGGAUUCUGAUGUAAAUGUUGGACUAGCAGUAGAGACUCAUAAUUGAACCGAUCGAUGUAAACCCAUAUGUCUAUACAUGUAUACAUGAUAUAUAAUUAAUGAUCAAACGACCUUCGGAUGGAUAUCCGAUCCCACCAGACCACAUCUCAACGAAGAAAAGGAAAUAGGGCGAACUAGCCUUCCUAAGUCCUUUAAUCAUUAUUUAUAUAACCAUACAUGUACAGGUAUACAUUUAACUAAGUGGAAGCGUAUCGUGAAGUAGAAGCGUAUCGUGAAGUAGGAGCGUUAAUAAGUAUAAGCAUAUCACGAAGUGGAAGUGUUAUCAUGUAUAAGUGAAGUAGAAGCGUAUCACUAAGUAGAAGUGUUU